rnacentral:rRNA from 1 species
ACGAACGCUGGCGGCGUGGAUAAGACAUGCAAGUCGAACGAGAGAAUUGCUAGCUUGCUAAUAAUUCUCUAGUGGCGCACGGGUGAGUAACACGUGAGUAACCUGCCCCCGAGAGCGGGAUAGCCCUGGGAAACUGGGAUUAAUACCGCAUAGUAUCGAAAGAUUAAAGCAGCAAUGCGCUUGGGGAUGGGCUCGCGGCCUAUUAGUUAGUUGGUGAGGUAACGGCUCACCAAGGCGAUGACGGGUAGCCGGUCUGAGAGGAUGUCCGGCCACACUGGAACUGAGACACGGUCCAGACACCUACGGGUGGCAGCAGUCGAGAAUCAUUCACAAUGGGGGAAACCCUGAUGGUGCGACGCCGCGUGGGGGAAUGAAGGUCUUCGGAUUGUAAACCCCUGUCAUGUGGGAGCAAAUUAAAAAGAUAGUACCACAAGAGGAAGAGACGGCUAACUCUGUGCCAGCAGCCGCGGUAAUACAGAGGUCUCAAGCGUUGUUCGGAAUCACUGGGCGUAAAGCGUGCGUAGGCUGUUUCGUAAGUCGUGUGUGAAAGGCGCGGGCUCAACCCGCGGACGGCACAUGAUACUGCGAGACUAGAGUAAUGGAGGGGGAACCGGAAUUCUCGGUGUAGCAGUGAAAUGCGUAGAUAUCGAGAGGAACACUCGUGGCGAAGGCGGGUUCCUGGACAUUAACUGACGCUGAGGCACGAAGGCCAGGGGAGCGAAAGGGAUUAGAUACCCCUGUAGUCCUGGCAGUAAACGGUGCACGCUUGGUGUGCGGGGAAUCGACCCCCUGCGUGCCGGAGCUAACGCGUUAAGCGUGCCGCCUGGGGAGUACGGUCGCAAGAUUAAAACUCAAAGAAAUUGACGGGGACCCGCACAAGCGGUGGAGUAUGUGGCUUAAUUCGAUGCAACGCGAAGAACCUUACCUGGGCUUGACAUGUAAUGAACAACAUGUGAAAGCAUGCGACUCUUCGGAGGCGUUACACAGGUGCUGCAUGGCCGUCGUCAGCUCGUGUCGUGAGAUGUUUGGUUAAGUCCAGCAACGAGCGCAACCCCUGUUGCCAGUUACCAGCACGUGAAGGUGGGGACUCUGGCGAGACUGCCCAGAUCAACUGGGAGGAAGGUGGGGACGACGUCAGGUCAGUAUGGCCCUUAUGCCCAGGGCUGCACACGUACUACAAUGCCCAGUACAGAGGGGGCCGAAGCCGCGAGGCGGAGGAAAUCCUAAAAACUGGGCCCAGUUCGGACUGUAGGCUGCAACCCGCCUACACGAAGCCGGAAUCGCUAGUAAUGGCGCAUCAGCUACAGCGCCGUGAAUACGUUCCCGGGUCUUGUACACACCGCCCGUCACAUCAUGGAAGCCGGUCGCACCCGAAGUAUCUGAAGCCAACCGCAAGGAGGCAGGGUCCUAAGGUGAGACUGGUAACUGGGAUG